rnacentral:rRNA from 1 species
UACGGAAGGCAGCAGUGGGGAAUAUUGCACAAUGGGCGCAAGCCUGAUGCAGCCAUGCCGCGUGUAUGAAGAAGGCCUUCGGGUUGUAAAGUACUUUCAGUCGUGAGGAAGGUGUUAAGGUUAAUAACCUUAGCAAUUGACGUUAGCGACAGAAGAAGCACCGGCUAACUCCGUGCCAGCAGCCGCGGUAAUACGGAGGGUGCGAGCGUUAAUCGGAAUUACUGGGCGUAAAGGGCACGCAGGCGGUUAAUUAAGUUGGAUGUGAAAUCCCCGGGCUUAACCUGGGAAUGGCAUUCAAGACUGGUUAGCUAGAGUCUUGUAGAGGGGGUAGAAUUCCAUGUGUAGCGGUGAAAUGCGUAGAGAUGUGGAGGAAAUACCGGUGGCGAAGGCGGCCCCUGGGACAAAGACUGACGCUCAUGUGCGAAAGCGUGGGGAGCGAAACAGGAUUAGAUACC